rnacentral:rRNA from 1 species
UACGUAGGGGGCUAGCGUUGUCCGGAAUCAUUGGGCGUAAAGAGCGUGUAGGCGGUCCGGUAAGUCCGCUGUGAAAGUCGGGGGCUCAACCCUCGAAUGCCGGUGGAUACUGUCGGGCUAGAGUGCGGAAGAGGCGAGUGGAAUUCCUGGUGUAGCGGUGAAAUGCGCAGAUAUCAGGAGGAACACCUAUUGCAAAGGCAGCUCGCUGGGACGUAACUGACGCUGAGACGCGAAAGCGUGGGGAGCAAACAGG